CCCCCACUUAAUCCCCAGUGAUGAGAAGGUGGGACCUUUGAGAGGAAGGCACAGCUUCAGCAUCAGAAAAAAACUGGAAAGUCACUGUGCUUUUGGAAAGGAUAAGAUUGUAAUAAGGGCCUCCCUCCACUGCCCCAGGCCCCUGGACCAGAGGGCACCCCGUGGCCAAGACAUCUCCUGGGAGCCACUGUCCAAAGAGAUGCUGCCUCCACUUCUAUCACUCCAGACCCCAAGGGCCCCUGAGAGAUGUCCUCAUUUCUCUUCAAUCACAUCCUGUUAAUUAGACACGGUCUAUCAUUUUACACAUGAGGAAACUGAGGUUCGGGGAGAUGAAGUUACUUGUCCAAGGACAUUCAGCUUGUAAGUAGCAGAGCCAGAAUCUGUAACUUGAAAGCUUGCUCAGAGGUCUGGUAGCUAUUCAGAUGCUUCAUGAUGAACCCAGGACUUUCUAUAUUGUUCAGACAAAUAGUGUCCUAAAGCAGAGGUCC
rnacentral:lncRNA from 1 species